rnacentral:rRNA from 1 species
GAUGAACGCUGGCGGUAUGCUUAACACAUGCAAGUCGAACGGACUCUUCGGAGUUAGUGGCGGACGGGUGAGUAACGCGUGAGAAUCUGGCUUUGGGUUCGGGACAACCACUGGAAACGGUGGCUAAUACCGGAUGUGCCGAGAGGUAAAAGAGAAAUUGCCUGAAGAUGAGCUCGCGUCUGAUUAGCUAGUUGGUGAGGUAAAGGCUCACCAAGGCAGCGAUUAGUAGCUGGUCUGAGAGGAUGACCAGUCACACUGGGACUGAGACACGGCCCAGACUCCUACGGGAGGCAGCAGUGGGGAAUUUUCCGCAAUGGGCGAAAGCCUGACGAAGCAAUACCGCGUGAGGGAAGAAGGCUCUUGGGUUGUAAACCUCUUUUCUUAGGGAAGAACAAAAUGACGGUACCUAAGGAAUCAGCAUCGGCUAACUCCGUG